CCUACGGGAGGCAGCAGUGAGGAAUAUUGGUCAAUGGACGAGAGUCUGAACCAGCCAAGUAGCGUGAAGGAUGACUGCCCUAUGGGUUGUAAACUUCUUUUAUAAAGGAAUAAAACGAGGCACGUGUGCCUUUUUGCAUGUACUUUAUGAAUAAGGAUCGGCUAACUCCGUGCCAGCAGCCGCGGUAAUACGGAGGAUCCGAGCGUUAUCCGGAUUUAUUGGGUUUAAAGGGCGCGUAGAUGGGUUGUUAAGUCAGUUGUUAAAGUUUGCGGCUCAACCGUAAAAUUGCAAUUGAUACUGGCAGUCUUGAGUACAGUUGAGGUAUGCGGAAUUCGUGGUGUAGCGGUGAAAUGCUUAGAUAUCGCUAAGAACCCCGAUUGCGAAGGCAGCUUACUAAACUGUGACUGACAUUGAUGCUCGAAAGUGUGGGUAUCAAACAGGAUUAGAUACCCUAGUAGUC
rnacentral:rRNA from 1 species